rnacentral:lncRNA from 1 species
CCGUUUCUUCGUACGAGAAAAAUAUCGAUGAUGCAUACUAAAGUUAUGUCAUCUCGCUCGUCUAACGUGUUAUCCGCGGUAAAUGUUUGUAGGAAACGCGCAUACGGUUGCAGACGCUUCUUUCCGACUAUUCCGAUAGCCAGUCAAACUUUAUCGAUCGAUCGUAUCGAUCGUUAUGGCGUUACGAUCAUUCAUCGACGAUCAUCGAAAGUAGGAGAAAGUAUUUUCGAUCAGAUUACAGAUAAUUUUAGAAAGUUACCGUAAACGUAUCAUAGAUGGCAGUUCAACGUCGGGAAUACACGUGAAACAAAGUGCGGCCGGAUCGAUUUAUUUUUGCGUUCAUUGACACGCGCGAUUCAGCAGCACCGAUCGAUUUGGAUAAACUUGAAAUUUGAAUUCGAUCUUGAUAUCGUAGCCAAGUUGGUAACGCUCGAAGGGUGGAGGGAAAAAGGGCGAGUGCCAAUUGUAACGAAUUUUGAGAGUUUAAUGCGUUAUGUAUUGCCUAAAGUCGUAAGUGAAUAUAACGCAGAACAGAACGGAGAAUAAAAUGAUAUUUGAGAAAAUAUAAAGUCGUGGCAUUAUGAUAUUAAAAAACAAAUUUGACAUUCCCCAUUCUUCUUGUAAAUCUAUCCGAAUCAUUGCUUGAGAAGUCCUCGACAGAAAAUGAAAUACGAGGCUACGGAUUACAGGAAUACGCGUGGGACGACAAUAUCAGCCAGAAUUUUUCAAUGCAUAUUUAUUAUUCAGUUCCGGCAAAUGGAAAAUAAGACUCGGAUUCUGAUAAACGUGUAAAGAAAACGAGGCGAAUAGGACACGAAGAAUUGGAAAAACGGCAGGAGAGAGAAAAAGAGAAAGGCGAUUUUAUGGAUUUAUCUAGAAUGAGUCGAAGGAGGGACGGAUUGGAAUUUCUUUGGAGUUGCUGGCGUCGAGGGUUGUUGCCCUGAAAUGGUCGGCACGUGUAACCCUCCGGCGUCCUUGAGGUCUUUAGAUGUCCGCUAAGAACAUAGGAGAUUCUCAUGGUCCUUCCUAAUUCGUUAGGUAGAGCCCUCUAGGAUGUACGAGCCCUUCUAGAAUAGUCUGCUAGGGUAGAUCGUACUCGGGAUACGCAUAGACGUUCGACGAGUCAUCUCGCUAAUAUUUAGGAAAUUUUUUAGUUUCUCCUUAAUAGAUAAGAAAGAAAUAGGCACAUUUGUAUAAUCCCAUUGUCUAUCGUAAUAUAUAUAAUAAGUUAAUGCGAUGAUGCAUGCGAUGAAAAAGAUCAUAAUAAUAUUUUUUCAUUCAUCCACUUUCUCCAGUCUCGCAUCUGAUUUAUUCGUAAUUUAAAUACGAUCAGCUGUAAAUUAUUUGCAAAUUAUUUGUCUUUAUGCAAAAUAGUCGAUGUACAUUGCGCUAUAGAGCACCGUAAUACUCGGGGUUAGAAGGUCGAAGAAAGUUGAAAUUAUAGAUAUUAAACGGAUAAAAGAGUGGAUAAUACGGGAAGGAAAAAAGAUUAUCUCUCUGUUUGGCCUUAAUGUCUCGUCAUCGAAUUUGCUUUCUCGAUGAAAUUGACACGUUAUCGCUUUUAUGGUCCUUAAUGACACCUAUAUUGUUAAUGGCGUAACGCCCAAUAUCGUUCUUCAAAUGAUUUCGAUUACUAAAUAGUAAUUAUUCUCCAUAAUAUAAUCUUCUUUCUUAUAUAAUCGGUACAUUUUUUCGCACAUUUCUGUAACGUCGACGGAAAUUUUUUUUAAUAAAGAUAAUACUUGUUAUUUCGUUUACGAUGUAGUUGAUACAUAGCAUAUCGUAAUAUAAUUAUAGAAAAAAGAAUCGUUUCGUUUUUUGAACGACACGAACAUUGUUAAGGUGAAAAAUAUCUGUGAUAUCUAAUAGGAGAUUGGGAUAUGCAAUUCUGACGUUUUAAAAGACGGGAGAAAGGUAUGCGACUAUAGCGCAGAAUGCGGUAAAAAGAGAAAGUACGAAUAUCGAAUAUCCGUGAGCGUUUCUUAGCGUUCGUUCAUAGUAUCUUAGUAUCAAGGUGCUUUCCUUGGAUAUCGUUAGUCACGGCGAUUAACUCGUUAACUUUCGAGAUUAGGAUAGAUAUUUCCGGUAUAAGGUGUUUUUACGAUAAGUCGCUCUGAAAUGCAUAUUGCUGUUACGCGCGAUUGGCGUGGCUGCGCACGUCUGACUUCGUACUAUACGUCUGUUUACAUUCUAAAGAGCCACGUGCCGGUUAGCCAGCAAGGUGAAAUACCUAUCGUCUCAAAGGGAAAUACGUGACUCCGAGGACGGUUCGUUAAAAUUGUCUAAUUGUUCGAUAACGUUGUUUAUCCAAUGAAAAUUAUUCUAAAACCAUUCUAAGGUGAAAAAUCUCGUUAGAAAAAUGUAAUUAUCCGUUAAAGAAUGAAAUUAUCUCAUUCGAGCAGGCAAUUCCGUUUAAUUUCAUCGACUUCGGAAAACUUCCAAAAUUCUUUAUCGCUUCUAGGAAUCUGACGUUUUGUAACAUGUAUUUGGACGGUGUUUGCACACGUCCCACUACGACUUAUUUUAUUUAUCUUGUUACUUAUUUUUAUGUAUUUCAGUUAUUACUUAAUCUGCAUGGAAAAAAGUUCAAUUUGCUACUAUGUAUGUAGAGAAUAUACGGAUUAUCGUGACAUUUCACUUAUCUUUAUGAUGUAACAUAAAAAAGAAGCAGAAGAAAUACUAUACACGUGUCAGAAGCUGUAACAUGCUAAUGAACAUCGUACGGCACCCUUA